AGACUAAUGGUCUAGUGGUAUGACGUUCGCUUCACAAACUUGUGGUUCAAAAACGCGAAAGGUCCUGGGUUCGAUCCCCAGUUGGUCUA